UUCCAUGAAUGAUGAGAACAAUAUUUUUACAGUUAUCCCUGUCUGAUAAAAUUCUAAUGCUGAUUUCUUGUAAUCUGACAUGUAA